GUUGACAGCUGUUGGUAGCGUGAAGCAUCGACGUUCUACUGGGAAAAGAUGGCAUUUGACUCUUUUCUAUGGCUCCACGUGAUAGAAUGAUGCUUUUAUUCAUAAAGUGAUCAACAAUGAAUUGAAUUCAUAAAUUUGUAAUGGCUCAUCCCGCAGACAUGAGUUAACAUGUGAUUUUGGCUAUCAGGUAACUGUUGGACUAGGCAACCUAAUUGAAUGAAUCAAAAUCAGUGAAAGCCCCGGCGACACCAGUGGAGAGCUGGACAUAAGCGGCUCAUCAACGGUUGGAGAAGAAGCGAAAAAGGAUGUUCAGCAAUCUCUUUUGAAACCCGCCAAAUUUGCGGGUGAACUGAAUCCAAUUGGAGCAGUAGGUCAAAAUUUGCGAAACGAAAAUCAAAUUACUUUGGCAACUAACCAGCCCAUCAUUGCCAGUGCAAUCGAUAACCGGAGGUCACUGAUGCCGUCGUUUAGCACUGGCCAAAACAGUGGACCACAUCAUCCACACAAUCCCUCGGAGAAAGCCAUCAAAUUAUGGAAAGAACACGGCAAGCUACUGUGGACAUGCUUAGUGCUCUCUACGGAAUUAUUUUGGUAGUUAUGGGCGUGGCCUUUCCUACUUCUCAAGUCAUUUCCAUCAAG